GGAGGGAGGGGUGAAUUGCUAAUCCCUUGUCAAUCUUCCCGAUGCGUUUUCUGCAAUUAUGCGUCACAUGCUUUGUUGUCUUUGCAUUGAGUUGAUACAGUUACAGGGGUCUGCCUCUUCCUUCUCGGGGUGCCAAAAGACCCAUUCUUACCCAUCUAUAUUUUCACUCUAUAAAUAGCAAAAUUACCCAUUGUUUUGCUGAAAGAAUUAAGGAUAUUUUGAGAGAAAAAAGAUGUUGGUGAUGGGAAUAAGCUUGCAAUGUUUGAUGGACUUGGUUGUAGCUGGAUUUUCCCUAAUGAUUGGGUUGGGAAUUUUCGCUUUUAUUGCUUCAAUUUUAUGCUCUGCUGCUUUCUAUCAGAAUGCAAAGCAACUUUCUUGAAACCCCUUUAUGGAUUUAGGAUAGAAAAAACAUAAGAAAUAAAAGUUGUCGUCCUUCCACUAUCUCCUACAUGAAUCUGGCACUCUUGCCUGCUUGUAAGCCAGGAACUGCAUGGAGAGGAUAAACUGAACUGAUAAGUAGAGCCCAUUUUAACUGUUUUGUUGUUUGUAAUAGGUAGAGAAAAGUAUGUGCCCUUAGAAAAAAGGCAUUUGUUUUGCAAUAGAGAAAUGAAUAUGCAGUUUUGAGACAGCCAGCUAUUUCCCCUUCUGAUAUAUAAAUAGUUUGAUAUUUUAGAAAAA